rnacentral:rRNA from 1 species
AGUGAACGCUGGCGGUAGGCCUAACACAUGCAAGUCGAACGGCAGCACAGUAAUAGCUUGCUCUUACGGGUGGCGAGUGGCGGACGGGUGAGGAAUAUAUCGGAAUCUACUUUUUCGUGGGGGAUAACGUAGGGAAACUUACGCCAAUACCGCAUACGACCUACGGGUGAAAGCAGGGGAUCUUCGGACCUUGCGCGAUUGAAUGAGCGGAUGUCGGAUUAGCUAGUUGGCGGGGUAAAGGCCCACCAAGGCGACGAUCCGUAGCUGGUCUGAGAGGAUGAUCAGCCACACUAGAACUGAGACACGGUCCAGACUCCUACGGGAGGCAGCAGUGGGGAAUAUUGGACAAUGGGCGCAAGCCUGAUCCAGCCAUACCGCGUGGGUGAAGAAGGCCUUCGGGUUGUAAAGCCCUUUUGUUGGGAAAGAAAAGCAGCAGGUUAAUACCCCGCUGUUCUGACGGUACCCAAAGAAUAAGCACCGGCUAACUUCGUG